GCUCUGGUGAGAGUGGCGCACGGGUGAGUAACGCGUGGAUAACCUGCCCUGGUAUCUGGAAUAACAUCUCGAAAGGGGUGCUAAUACCGGAUAAGCCUACGGAGCCUUCGGUCUCUGCAGGAAAAGGUGGCCUCUAUUUAUAAGCUACCGUAUCAGGAUGGGUCCGCGUACCAUUAGCUAGUUGGUAGGGUAAUGGCCUACCAAGGCUACGAUGGUUAGCUGGUCUGAGAGGAUGAUCAGCCAAACUGGAACUGAGACACGGUCCAGACUAAUACGGGAGGCAGCAGUGGGGAAUUUUGCGCAAUGGGGGAAACCCUGACGCAGCAACGCCGCGUGAGUGAUGAAGGCUUUCGGGUCGUAAAGCUCUGUCAGAAGGGAAGAAAUGGGGCUGGCUAAUAUCCAGUUUCCUUGACGGUACCUUCAAAGGAAGCACCGGCUAACUCCGUGCCAGCAGCCGCGGUAAUACGGAGGGUGCAAGCGUUGUUCGGAUUUAUUGGGCGUAAAGCGCGUGUAGGCGGUUUCUUAAGUCUGAUGUGAAAGCCCUGGGCUCAACCCAGGAAGUGCAUUGGAUACUGGGAGACUUGAAUACGGGAGAGGGUAGUGGAAUUCCUAGUGUAGGAGUGAAAUCCGUAGAUAUUAGGAGGAACACCGGUGGCGAAGGCGGCUACCUGGACCGAUAUUGACGCUGAGACGCGAAAGC
rnacentral:rRNA from 2 species